rnacentral:rRNA from 1 species
UACGUAGGGGGCAAGCGUUGUCCGGAAUCAUUGGGCGUAAAGCGCGUGUAGGCGGCUCGGUAAGUCUGCUGUGAAAGUCCAGGGCUCAACCCUGGGAUGCCGGUGGAUACUGUCGAGCUCGAGUCCGGAAGAGGCGAGUGGAAUUCCUGGUGUAGCGGUGAAAUGCGCAGAUAUCAGGAGGAACACCAAUGGCGAAGGCAGCUCGCUGGGACGUGACUGACGCUGAGACGCGAAGCGUGGGAG